UACGGAGGGUGCAAGCGUUGUUCGGAUUUACUGGGCGUAAAGCGCGCGCAGGUGGGUGUGCAAGUCGGAAGUGAAAUCUUGAGGCUCAACCUCGAGGCUGCUCCCGAAACUGCACGCCUAGGGACUGGUAGAGGCUGGUAGAAUUCCGGGUGUAGCGGUGGAAUGCGUAGAGAUCCGGAAGAACACCGGUGGCGAAGGCGGUCUGCUGGGGUGAGGCUGACGCUGAGGCGCGACAGCGUGGGGAGCAAACAGG
rnacentral:rRNA from 1 species